rnacentral:rRNA from 1 species
GACGAACGGUGCGAGCGUUGUUCGGAAUCACUGGGCUUAAAGGGCGCGUAGGCGGGUGAUCAAGUCCGGGGUGAAAUCUUUCGGCUCAACCGGAAAAUAGCCUUGGAUACUGGUCGCCUUGAGGGAGGUAGGGGCAUGUGGAACUUCCGGUGGAGCGGUGAAAUGUGUUGAUAUCGGAAGGAACGCCGGUGGCGAAAGCGACGUGCUGGAUCUCUUCUGACGCUGAGGCGCGAAAGCUAGGGGAGCGAACGGG